rnacentral:tRNA from 2 species
GGGGCUGUACGCUAACCUGGUAGACUGCUAGCUUAGGGAGCUAGUAACCCGAGUCCAAAUCUCGGCAGCCCCA